GGAAAUUCUUCACACCAGCUAUGGCUGGUAGGAAUUUCGGGCCACAACUCAGAGUCAUAAUGGUGAAGAGGAUGGUGACAUCCAAGGACAACCACAGGGCCUCUCUCCUGACACUGGUGAGAACCAGAUUCCUUUCCCUGGUUCUGUAGCUCCCAGCAGAGUUUUGGAAGCUGAUUAAAGAGAAUGUUGGAAAUAACAGGCAAUUAGAAACCUUAUUAAAA
rnacentral:lncRNA from 1 species